CGGGCUCCCAGAGCGGGUGCCCAGACUGCUGGCAAAGUUGCGGGGAAGGAGAUGGGGAAAGGGUUGUCAGCAUGCCGUCUUUCUGUUGGCCGUUGUACUUGUCCUUAGCUUCUGUAGUCAAAAGUAUUUGAGUUUCUUUUCAAAGAGGGCUUUCAGUCGUUUUCAGAGAAGCCUCCCAUCCUUAGAGUUUUUCUUAAUCUAAGAACUGUUGCUGAUGCUUGCCACUGCUUUAUCUCACUAUAGAAUCUGAAGCCGCAACUCUCCUCUUCCCUCCUUACCCCCCCAUAAAGGCAGGUCUUUGGAACAUAAACAGACCUUACUAAAUGCUGGCUGGUCAAAUCCUAUGGGAACCAGACAUGGAAGACUUGGGCUGAAAUUCAACCAGGAGCAAGAGACUAUGUUGCUUUGCUGAAAACUAGUUACAGGUGUCCCUGUGCUGGAGGCCACAUCCUGCAGUGAUAAGAGCUUGCUUUGGGGCUGUGCUCAAGGAUUACUCCUGGCAGGCUCAGAGACCAUACAGGAAAACAGAGAUGGAACCCAAGCUGCUUGGAGAACCUGUGCAAUAGUGAGGCCCAGACUGCAGGUCAGAAGGAUUGCCUCUGCAGAUGUUCUAGAAGAUGGAAGUGGGAAGAAUAAUUAUACAGAAUCCUCGAAGAGGCUUGCCAAAGUCAGAGGAGAGCAGACUCAUGAUCCAGGCCCAGAAGAAUUAUGAGACAAAAGCAGGAUGGAAAAGAAGUGCAAAUGAAUCUACCUAAGAAGGGUACAUGAAUCAAGAGAAGCAGGGCAGAAGGAAGUUAUCAUUUAGGUCUGAACCUUCCCCUUGGUCCUGAGCCUUGGAGGAAAGAUUAGCAGUUGUCUUGGGCUUCCCAUCUCUAAGGCAGGUACAUUUAACAUUUAGCCAAACUCACAGUAGACACAGUUUCUUACACUUUGCUCUUCUUAAAUGCACUUACUGGAUUCCUUCCAGAAUCUCCCCACACACAAAUCAAUGGCUCCUAGUGCCCCAGUGCUGCCUGCAAGACCCUUCCACCCCCACUACCUCCAGCCCACUGCUCUUGACCAUGGGGAGUUCCCUACUUCCAACUUCUGUGCCUCCAACUCUUCUAUGAGGCUCCCAGAACUUCACUGUUAAUUUUUGGAUGCCUGGGAUCAAAGAACAGGGAGAAUAUUACCCUAUUAUCUUUGUGAAAUCUGGGAAGAAGCUGGGUAUUCAAGUUGAUGAUUUGUAUAGCUUGGGUUUUGCAAUGGUCACAUCUGGGUUUAAAUCUCAUUUGGGUUCUGCAAACUGAAUGGCUUCUGGCCAACCGAAAGGAAACAUUCAUGCAAAUUACAAACAAAAAGUCAAAACAAGACAAAACAACAUCCUUUCUUCAAAUGACAAAAUAAUGUGAAUAGGGUUAAAACAAUGAAUACUGGCAGAUAAGUCUCUACCAUAAAACAAUACCCCUAUAGUGUAUAUUUCCUAAAGUGUUACGAUAAUCACCCCAUGCACAGAAUGGAGCAGGGAUCUCCUCUGGCUAUAGGAAUGGUCACCACCGGCCAUUCCUUUAAGAGUCCCUGAAAGUGUAAGAAGUAGGAGGCAAGGGAAACAGACUCUGGUUGGGGGGGUGUUGCUGUGUGUUCUGUGGGGUAGCUGGUAGCUAACCCGCUUACAUUUGCAUGAGCUCCACUCCCUAAAUUCUGACUUUUUGUGAUACACCAUGCCAGAGCACGUGUAUCUCUUUAAAAACUCUUGAAUUUCCCCUCUGUCCUGUUGUAGCCUCUGCUCUGGUGCUCAAAGCCUGUAAUCUUUGAGCUGUACAGUUUAACAAGGUCUCACCCCAGCCCACACCCACAUUAUCUCCUUCCCAGCUGAGUGUAGCAUAGGUAGGUAUUGAUUCGAGCAGUAUCUAGAAGUGGGAACAUAUGCAUGCAUUGUGGGGUGAACUGAUCUCUUUUCAUGGUCCCCUCUUUUCUGAUACAGUCCAUAGAGUCCUGAGAUACAGCUUAUACAGCUCCUCAGUGUCUCACCAGCCUUCUGUGGGGAUGACCAAAUAGACCAUGCACCCCUCUUUUGUAGCCCUCUCUCCUCCUCUUAACAAUCCCCAAAUAUUCCAAGAUCCUAAUCCUGGAACCUGUGAAUUUUUUUUUUAGGCAAAGAAGCAUUGCAGAUGGAUUGAGUUAAGGACCUUGAGAUGGGUAGUUUGCCUGGAUUAUCCAGAUAGGCCUAGAUGCAAUCUCAAGGGAAUUUUGAUGAUAUAAGAAAACACAGAGAGGAUGGAAAUGAUCCUCAGCCAAGUUAAAAAGGAAUGCAGCUCUAGAAGCUGGAAAAGUCCAGAAAAUGAAUUCUCCUAGAUGGAUGGGGGCGGAGGGACAGUGGAUAGAAAGGGCUGUGUUGAGUCCUUGAUUUUGACACAGUGAAAUUGACUUUGGAGCUCUGAUCUUCAAAUUUGAAGAGAACAGAUGGAAGUAGUUUUAAACCACUAUGUUUCUUGUGAUUUGUUCCAAUGACGACAGAAUACCCUGUAUGCUCUCUAGCAUCAAUCAUAUGCUUUAAUACAAUGCUCACACAAAAGUUGCUUCUUAGGUUCUGAGCUUGGGGAGCUCAGGGUAAAGAAAAAUCUGUGUAGGAAUCAUGCCCGAGCUUCUUGUGCACAGUCCUGCUCUCUUGGGUCAUGUGUGAUUGACCUUGCGUACCCAGCUCUAGGACUUCAGCAAGGCAUUGUGGCUGACUCAGAGGCUGCUGGAAACGGAAUCAGGUCACAGAGAUGCAGGACAGCACAAUGAAAGAAGCAGCCUCAGGGUGGGAGGAAGGUCUAAGGGUGCUCAGGACCUAGUGCAGCUGCACUGGGUAUACUGCUAGUACGUGAGCUCCUUCGCUCCUGUAUGGAGACUUCAUAGCAGAUAGCAGGGGUGUGAGUGGGUUUAUGUUGUUCUGGAUGCUCUCGGCUGGGUCUAGGAGACCUGGAAGGACCAUGACCACAUCAUGGCUGUCUUGUGCACUAGUAUUUGUCUACAACGUAAAUAUCUUCAUCUUUUUCACUAUAGGGCUCAGUUUUAAUAGUGUAAUCAGAAAGUGUGACUUAAAAUGUGUUCAUAGAGAACCUUCAUUCUCCCAUGAAGAAAACAACUAAAAUACACAUUUAACAAAAAGAAAACUACCCUGUUCUAUUAAAAAGUGAUAAUACAGCUUUUUCAAAUUUGCAAUCUGCUGUUGCUUAAAGUAAAAAUGUAAAGGCACUAAGAACAAGAAGGCAUUGUAAAACGUUUCAGCAAUGGGUUACUUGAACAAAAUCUUACUGUACUAAGGCAGAAAACAAUGGAAAUACUUAUUUACUGCGGGCAAUUUGCUAUUUGUUUUAAACUUUUUUGAGGUACCUUUUGCUUACCAGAGUAUGAGUUAAUGUUACCAGAGUAUGAGUUAAUGAGUUAAUGUUCUAGAGGUACAAUGUUACCACAUCACAUCCACCACCAAAGUGCCACUAUUCCUUCACCAGUGAAAGAAUCACCAUCUUAGAUUUAGUCCUCUUAUUCCAUGUAGCAUGUGAAAAGCCAUAGAGGGUGGUCUUUUUGAACUGCUUGGCCAUGGACAAUGCCUUUAUUUCUUCUACAAAAGGAACGGAUACCUUCCCCAGAUUGCUUUCUUGAGGAUUUUAAUCUUACAAUUUGACUUUGAGCUCUGGAGUAAAUAACAAAUGGUGACUGUUCCUGUUGAACCUGCUGCCAUUGUUCUCAUAAAGGUGCUUUGACACUGCCAUAAAGUCCUGCGACACUGCCAUAAAGUCCUGUGUGGCCAAACAGCUACACGGUGACUUAGCUCUUUGUGAAAUGUGCUCCCUUCACAUCAGAAGCUACAAGUCAGAUUAAAGUUUCUUCUUUCUUUCAAGAUGAAUCUGUAACACUUGUAAAGGAGACCACAGUGUGAAACCAAAUCUGAGGAUGAAAGGGUGGCAGUAGGCUUUGGAGAGCAAAGUGAGACACACUAGGCAAAUGACAGCACACAGUCUCAUUGCCAGCGACAGGUAUUUCAAGUACUUUGUUGUUAUUGUUUUAUUACCGUAUGAUUUGGGGGCCAGACCCAACUGUGCUCAUGGCUUACUCCUGACUCUGCUCAGGGAUCACUCCUUUGUUGCUUGGGAGGCGAUAUGCUGAGCCAGAAUUUGAACCAAGAUUGUUAACAUGCAAGGAAAUUGCCUUAAGCCUUAUACUAUCUCUCUACCCCUUGUGUACUUAAAAAAAAAAUUCACUGUCACUGUCAUCCCAUUGUUUGUCAAUUUACUUGAGCAGGCACCAGUGAUGUCUCUUUUCCUCUCAGCCCUGAGAUUUUAGCAGCCUUUCCCUACUCAUCUUUCCCAACAAUUGAAGGCUCUUUCAGGUCAGGGAAAUGAGACUGAUUGUUACUGUUUUUGGCAUAUCGAAUAUGCCAUGGGUAGCUUGCCAGACUCUGCCCGUGCUGGCAGGAUACUCUCUGUAGCUUGCCUAGCUCUCUGAGAGAUUUGUAUAUACUGUCAUCCCAUUGAUCAAUGAUUUGCUCGAGUGGGCCCAGUAACGUCUCCAUUCAAUCUAGCCCUGACAUUUUAGAGCCUCUCUUUACUCAUCCUUCCCAAUGGUGCCACAUUAGAGGGUCUUCAGGGUUAAGGGAAUGAGACCCAUCAUUGUUACUGUAUUUGGCAUAUGAAUAUGUCAUGGGGAGCUUGCCAGGAUCUCCCAUGCGGGCAGUAAACUCUUGGUGGCUUGCUAGGUACUCCAAGAGGGAGAACUAGGCUAUCAGAGGUCGCACGGCUGCAUUAAGGCCAUCAAAGAACUUCUGGGGAGAGCAUGGUUUUAUAGUCUCUGAAUGUUGGCCGUUGAUAGGAUUACAUGGCGCCGGGGGCAGUUUCUGGGUGUGACUUCCUAGCAACUGGAAAAUGGGGUAUCUGGGUAGAAGAGACCCAGUCCUGAUCCAAGCAGCCUUGGAGAUCUCGGUCCCGGGUCCCACACACCUGGGUUCCUCUGCUGGUUCCUUCAUGUGUGAGGCUUGUUCGAACGUGUGGAGAGUGCCCUUGAGCAUGGCUGUGGCUGGGUUCUGGAGGUCUUCAACUGCCGGGGCUCUGCUUUUUAUAUAUAUCAUUUGUAUCACUUGUAUCACUUGUCAUCCUGUUGAUCUUCAAUUUGCUCAAGCGGGUGCCAGUAAUGUCUCCAUUUGUCCCUGUCGUAUGCUAGUGUAGCCCAAUGGUAUCUGCUCGCUCCAGGAACAAGAAGAGCCUCAAACUGUUUAUUCAGGGUCUUGACAAAGAAGUCUGACCAUCUCGUAGGUGGGCACCCAAAAGGUCUUUUGACGUCCCGUGGAAUCCAGUCGGUAACAGCUCUAGUCCAGCAGUCAUCUUUAAAUUGCAUUACAUGUCCAGCCCAUCUGAUUUUUUUUUUCAUGUUAAUAAUUUUAGUUUUAUUUUUCUUUUGGAAGAAUAUCUAGCAGCACUCUGAGGCUAUUCUUGGUUCAGUGCUUGGAAUUGCUUCUGGUUCUGCUCUGGAUACCAUGCAAUGCUGGGGAUCCAACCUUGUCUUCCUUCAUGGAAAACAUGCAGUUAGCUCAUUGGAAUAUCUCUCUGGCUCAAAUACGACAAUAUUGUCAGACCUUUCAAAACAGCAUUGACUUCAUAUAGUGUAGAAGAAAUACACUUUACAUGCAAAGUCACCAUAUAAAAAAGAAAAAUAUCUGAAAAGUUAUGCCAUACAAUGAAAACAAUUAAGCUCAA